rnacentral:rRNA from 1 species
CUCUACGGCCAUGCCACCCUGAACAAGCCCGAUCCCAUUUGAUUCAGAAGCUAAGCAGGGUCGGGCCUGGUUAGUACUUGGAUGGGAGACCACCUAGGAAGACCAGGUGCCAUAGGUG